rnacentral:misc_RNA from 1 species
AAACUGAUGUAGACUACAGAGCUCUAAACGGCCUAGAGAAAAAACAAACCAUCAUCAGGCACCUUCGGAGAUCAUGUUGAAAAGCACGGCAGUCAGCUGCUCUUGUGUGUACAGCCUUGUUUUCGCCAUCUUCACAGUCAGCUGCUGGACCAUGAGCUCCUUGACAAUCGACACACUUGCCCAGAACACCUCCAGCUCCAGCUCUCGCAAUGCAGCCAU